UGUAUUUUGAAUUUAUUUCCAUACGUCCUUAUUUUUAUAAAAAACAAGGAGAUAAUUUGUUAUAAGAUAAGUAAUUUGAAUUUAUUUCCAUUCGUCGUUAUUUUGAAUUUAUUACUUUGUUACGAAUUAAUUGUAAUGUUGUUUGAAAACAUGAAAUUACUAGUUGCUCAACAUAACAUAUAUAAAUGUAAAAAGAAAGUGCAAGUGUAAUUUUGUUCCUAAACAUUGUUCAAACAAAUAGUUCCAAAACAUGAAUUAAUUAAAUAGUCCAAAACAUUAAAUUAAUAGUUCCAAAAUAUAAAGUGCUGCUCAAGGUAGCUGACCCGACCGCCUCAUGAACGCCUCGAUUUCAGCCAUACGCUGCUGGAGGGCCUCACGUUCUGCUUGUUCGGCCAGAAGGCGCUCUUCCAGCGUGGAGAUCCGUGUCUCAUACAUCUGCUGAGACAUCAUGGAAGUGCCUGUGCUUUGAGAAGACCCCCUACUAACCUGGCUCCUACUGGCACUUCCAGUGCCGUAGAGCCGGGACCUGUCGGGCCGUACGACCUCCAAGUAGAUCUCAGGCAGCCGGUCCUCUCGCCCAGUCUCAACAGCAAUGCGACGAAUCUCCGCCUAAUUCAGACAUAACAAUUGAAAAUUAAAAGAUCCAUCCUCGCGCAUGUGGAGACGGAGGAAGGUGCUAUAGUUCUGUGCAGUCAGGGGGAGUCCAGUGUCCAAGCUCUGUCCAUGCAUGCAUAUAAGAUAAACAAGACACGAGUGGACCGAGACCCUCCCACGUGCCUGCUGAUCCCUGUACUGGGUCCAUCGGGCUCAGACAUCCGGUUCGCACGUGCUCGCUCGGAAACGGCCUUAACAGUCUCCUGACUCCAGUAUGCCUUGAGUCCUAUCCAGAAUUCGGCAGACAUCCAGACGGGUCUAUCCAUCUCCCGACCUGCAUCGGUAUGAGCCCUGAGCUUCCUCUUGUAGUCGCUCAUCAUGUCACUGUACCUCUUGCUGGCUUUCUGUUCCCACAUGGCCCUGACCUCAAGCUCGUCCGCAGGCGACCAAGAAAACUCUUUCUGUUGAAAGAAAUAGUUAAUUUAAUAUAUAACAUUUUACAAUAGAUAAUGAUAAAU